UACGUAGGGGGCAAGCGUUGUCCGGAAUUAUUGGGCGUAAAGCGCGCGCAGGCGGCAUCGUAAGCCCAGUGUUUAAGCUCGGAGCUCAACUCCGAUACGCACUGGGAACUGCGAGGCUUGAGUGCAGAAGAGGAAAGUGGAAUUCCACGUGUAGCGGUGAAAUGCGUAGAGAUGUGGAGGAACACCAGUGGCGAAGGCAGCACUCUGGGACGUGACUGACGCUAAGACGCGAAAGCGUGGGGAGCAAACAGG
rnacentral:rRNA from 1 species